CAGGCUUAACACAUGCAAGUCGAGGGGCAGCAUGGUCUUAGCUUGCUAAGGCCGAUGGCGACCGGCGCACGGGUGAGUAACACGUAUCCAACCUGCCGUCUACUCUUGGACAGCCUUCUGAAAGGAAGAUUAAUACAAGAUGGCAUCAUGAGUCCGCAUGUUCACAUGAUUAAAGGUAUUCCGGUAGACGAUGGGGAUGCGUUCCAUUAGAUAGUAGGCGGGGUAACGGCCCACCUAGUCUUCGAUGGAUAGGGGUUCUGAGAGGAAGGUCCCCCACAUUGGAACUGAGACACGGUCCAAACUCCUACGGGAGGCAGCAGUGAGGAAUAUUGGUCAAUGGGCGAGAGCCUGAACCAGCCAAGUAGCGUGAAGGAUGACUGCCCUAUGGGUUGUAAACUUCUUUUAUAAAGGAAUAAAGUCGGGUAUGCAUACCCGUUUGCAUGUACUUUAUGAAUAAGGAUCGGCUAACUCCGUGCCAGCAGCCGCGGUAAUACGGAGGAUCCGAGCGUUAUCCGGAUUUAUUGGGUUUAAAGGGAGCGUAGAUGGAUGUUUAAGUCAGUUGUGAAAGUUUGCGGCUCAACCGUAAAAUUGCAGUUGAUACUGGAUAUCUUGAGUGCAGUUGAGGCAGGCGGAAUUCGUGGUGUAGCGGUGAAAUGCUUAGAUAUCACGAAGAACUCCGAUUGCGAAGGCAGCCUGCUAAGCUGCAACUGACAUUGAGGCUCGAAAGUGUGGGUAUCAAACAGGAUUAGAUACCCUGGUAGUCCACACGGUAAACGAUGAAUACUCGCUGUUUGCGAUAUACUGCAAGCGGCCAAGCGAAAGCGUUAAGUAUUCCACCUGGGGAGUACGCCGGCAACGGUGAAACUCAAAGGAAUUGACGGGGGCCCGCACAAGCGGAGGAACAUGUGGUUCAAUUCGAUGAUACGCGAGGAACCUUACCCGGGCUUAAAUUGCAGAUGAAUUACGGUGAAAGCCGUAAGCCGCAAGGCAUCUGUGAAGGUGCUGCAUGGUUGUCGUCAGCUCGUGCCGUGAGGUGUCGGCUUAAGUGCCAUAACGAGCGCAACCCUUGUUGUCAGUUACUAACAGGUUCCGCUGAGGACUCUGACAAGACUGCCAUCGUAAGAUGUGAGGAAGGUGGGGAUGACGUCAAAUCAGCACGGCCCUUACGUCCGGGGCUACACACGUGUUACAAUGGGGGGUACAGAGGGCCGCUACCACGCGAGUGGAUGCCAAUCCCCAAAACCUCUCUCAGUUCGGACUGGAGUCUGCAACCCGACUCCACGAAGCUGGAUUCGCUAGUAAUCGCGCAUCAGCCACGGCGCGGUGAAUACGUUCCCGGGCCUUGUACACACCGCCCGUCAAGCCAUGGGAGCCGGGGGUACCUGAAGUGCGUAACCGCGAGGAGCGCCCUAGGGUAAAACUGGUGACUGGGGCUAAGUCAUAACAA
rnacentral:rRNA from 1 species